GUUGGGUAGGGGAGCGUUCUGUAAGCCUGCGAAGGUGUACUGUGAGGUAUGCUGGAGGUAUCAGAAGUGCGAAUGCUGACAUAAGUAACGAUAAUGCGGGUGAAAAACCCGCACGCCGGAAGACCAAGGGUUCCUGUCCAACGUUAAUCGGGGCAGGGUGAGUCGACCCCUAAGGCGAGGCUGAAAAGCGUAGUCGAUGGGAAACGGGUUAAUAUUCCCGUACUGGUGGUAACUGCGAUGGGGGAACGGAGAAGGCUAGGUUGUCCGGGCGACGGUCGUCCCGGUUCAAGCAGGUAGGCAGAGUGAUUAGGCAAAUCCGGUCACUUAAUGCUGAGAUGUGAUGACGAACCACUAAGGUGGUGAAGCAAUUGAUGCCCCGCUUCCAGGAAAAGCCUCUAAGCUUCAGGUUACCAACAAUCGUACCCCAAACCGACACAGGUGGUCAGGUAGAGAAUACUCAGGCGCUUGAGAGAACUCGGGUGAAGGAACUAGGCAAAAUGGUGCCGUAACUUCGGGAGAAGGCACGCUGGCGGUAGGUAAAGUCCCUCGCGGACGGCGCUGAAGCCAGUCGAAGAUACCAGCUGGCUGCAACUGUUUAUUAAAAACACAGCACUGUGCAAACACGAAAGUGGACGUAUACGGUGUGACGCCUGCCCGGUGCUGGAAGGUUAAUUGAUGGGGUCAGCCGUAAGGCGAAGCUCCUGAUCGAAGCCCCAGUAAACGGCGGCCGUAACUAUAACGGUCCUAAGGUAGCGAAAUUCCUUGUCGGGUAAGUUCCGACCUGCACGAAUGGCGUAAUGAUGGCCAGGCUGUCUCCACCCGAGACUCAGUGAAAUUGAACUCGCUGUGAAGAUGCAGUGUACCCGCGGCAAGACGGAAAGACCCCGUGAACCUUUACUAUAGCUUGACACUGAACAUUGAGCCUUGAUGUGUAGGAUAGGUGGGAGGCUUUGAAGUGUGGACGCCAGUCUGCAUGGAGCCAACCUUGAAAUACCACCCUUUAACGUUUGAUGUUCUAACCUAGGCCCAUAAACUGGGUCGGGGACCGUGUCUGGUGGGUAGUUUGACUGGGGCGGUCUCCUCCUAAAGAGUAACGGAGGAGCACGAAGGUUGGCUAAGCAUGGUCGGACAUCAUGCGGUUAGUGCAAAGGCAUAAGCCAGCUUGACUGCGAGAGUGACGGCUCGAGCAGGUACGAAAGUAGGUCUUAGUGAUCCGGUGGUUCUGAAUGGAAGGGCCAUCGCUCAACGGAUAAAAGGUACUCCGGGGAUAACAGGCUGAUACCGCCCAAGAGUUCAUAUCGACGGCGGUGUUUGGCACCUCGAUGUCGGCUCAUCACAUCCUGGGGCUGAAGUAGGUCCCAAGGGUAUGGCUGUUCGCCAUUUAAAGUGGUACGCGAGCUGGGUUUAGAACGUCGUGAGACAGUUCGGUCCCUAUCUGCCGUGGGCGUUGGAAGAUUGAGAGGGGUUGCUCCUAGUACGAGAGGACCGGAGUGAACGCACCACUGGUGUUCGGGUUGUCAUGCCAAUGGCAUUGCCCGGUAGCUAAGUGCGGAAGAGAUAACCGCUGAAAGCAUCUAAGCGGGAAACUUGCCUCGAGAUGAGUCUUCCCUGUCGCUUUAAGCGACCUAAAGGAACGUUUAAGACUAAGACGUUGAUAGGCUGGGUGUGUAAGCGUAGCGAUACGUUGAGCUAACCAGUACUAAUGAACCGUGAGGCUUAACCUG
rnacentral:rRNA from 1 species